AGUGAACGCUGGCGGUAGGCCUAACACAUGCAAGUCGAACGGCAGCACAGUAAGAGCUUGCUCUUACGGGUGGCGAGUGGCGGACGGGUGAGGAAUACAUCGGAAUCUACUUUUUCGGGGGGGUUAACGUAGGGGAACUUACGCUAAUACCGCAUACGCCCUACGGGUGAAAGCAGUGGAUCUUCGGACCUUGCGCGGUUGGAUGAGCCGAUGUCGGAUUAGCUAGUGGGCGGGGUAAAGGCCCACCAAGUGGCCGAUCCGCAGCUGGUGUGAGAGGAGGGUCACCCACACUGGAACUGAGACACGGUCCAGACUCCUACGGGAGGCAGCAGUGGGGAAUAUUGGACAAUGGGCGCAAGCCUGAUCCAGCCAGACCGCGUGGGUGAAGAAGGCCUUCGGGUUGUAAAGCCCUUUUGUUGGGAAAGAAAAGCAGCAGGUUAAUACCCCGCUGGUCUGACGGUACCCAAAGAAGAAGCACCGGCUAACUUCGUG
rnacentral:rRNA from 1 species